GCGAGUGCUGUGGUCAAAGCUCCAGCGGCCUACGAGCUGGUGCUGCCAGCUCCACUGGCAGAAGGAAACAUCUGAGACUGCCUGAGUGAGACAUGCUCCCUGGUGUGGCACCCUCAGACUCAUAGUCCCAGAUAAAAACUACUGGGGAAGAGUACCCUUGGUCAUGUUGCCACUUAUACAGCUACUAUAACUCAGGUAUACUUCAGUGAAUCUAACUGGUCUCCCAUCCCUUUGAAUCAUGCUUUAAGGAUGCCAUUCUGGUUAAAGGCUAGAAUCAGUUAUUGUACUUCAGAGAUCACAGAAGGGCAGGCACCUGGUCCUUCACUUUAGAGAAGAAGG